rnacentral:rRNA from 1 species
UUGUUGGUAAGGUAAAGGCUUACCAAGGCUUCGAUCAGUAGCUGGUCUGAGAGGACGGCCAGCCACACUGGGACUGAGACACGGCCCAGACUCCUACGGGAGGCAGCAGUGGGGAAUUUUGGACAAUGGGGGAAACCCUGAUCCGCCAUGCCGCGUGAGUGAAGAAGGCCUUCGGGUUGUAAAGCUCUUUCAGCCGGAACGAAACGGUUACGGAUAAUACCCGUGACUACUGACGGUACCGGAAGAAGAAGCACCGGCUAACUACGUGCCAGCAGCCGCGGUAAUACGUAGGGUGCGAGCGUUAAUCGGAAUUACUGGGCGUAAAGCGUGCGCAGGUGGUUUUGUAAGUCAGAUGUGAAAGCCCCGGGCUCAACCUGGGAACUGCGUUUGAAACUACAAGACUAGAGUGUGGCAGAGGGGGGUGGAAUUCCGCGUGUAGCAGUGAAAUGCGUAGAGAUGUGGAGGAACACCGAUGGCGAAGGCAGCCCCCUGGGUUAACACUGACACUCAGGCACGAAAGCAUGGGGAGCAAACAGGAUUAGAUACCCUGGUAGUCCAUGCCCUAAACGAUGUCAACUAGUUGUCGGGCCUUUACGGGCUUGGUAACGUAGCUAACGCGUGAAGUUGACCGCCUGGGGAGUACGAUCGCAAGAUUAAAACUCAAAUGAAUUGACGGGGACCCGCACAAGCGGUGGAUUAUGUGGAUUAAUUCGAUGCAACGCGAAAAACCUUACCUACCCUUGACAUGUAUCGAAGCCCGCAGAAAAGCGGGGGUGCCCGAAAGGGAACGAUAACACAGGUGCUGCAUGGCUGUCGUCAGCUCGUGUCGUGAGAUGUUGGGUUAAGUCCCGCAACGAGCGCAACCCUUGUCAUUAAUUGCCAUCAUUUAGUUGGGCACUUUAAUGAGACUGCCGG